UGUUAGAACAAUUCAUCGGAGCAUUCAAGUGUUACCUUUUAUAAGCUGCUAAAAGACCAAGCAGUGCGAAGCUCUUGGCUGACAGUGGUGCCUGCUAAUUUCCACUGCAAGGAUUUCGUCAACGAAUGUUAUCAUAGGUUAUACGCGCGACUCCAGAGGCAAUUUGGAAUAUCGGCACGAAAUCGUCGGAUGAAAAUCUGAGGUGCCCGACGCACAACAUUUUGAACGUGCCACGGAGGAUCAAGGCAAAAAACGAGAGCAAAAAAGGUGCACGCUGAAGGCGGAAAUGAAGCAUGAUCUGGCUUGCAUCUGGUGCAUGAAGAAAUUGCUGGCACGUUAGUUGCAGUCUACCUCCACCAACAGGGUGGAAAACAAAGGUCGCCAUUCCGAUUAGCUGCUAUCUCCCAGUUCAAGCACUUUUGCUGUCUGGACACUGGUUCCUGUGGAUGGGCUGUUACAAGCUUCACUGUCUGAUAUAGAAGUGAUGAGCAUCCAUAAGGACACAUGGCAGAAAGGGAGUCUCUUUGAGAUGACAAACCCUCAUCACCUCAUGAGGAUACAAUGGUUGACGAAUGGUUCUCAAGUACAUCGAAACUUCAACAAAUAAUUCAUGAAAAAGCCAGUCAGUGCUAGCACCAGGAAUUGAACGUGGACCGUCCUGCUACCAGUCAGAGAUGUUACAUUUCAGGUGCUCAUUGACUUUUGGUGAAUUACUUGUUGACUUUGUCCCAAGGUGGAGCUCGCCACAGCUCAUUUGUCUAUCUGUUAAUGUUGUGGCGUGUGUUGCGUUUUUCUCUUUGUGUGUUCCAGACUCAGAACGGUAAAUUUGGAUCAGGUCAGGUACGUUUCAUUUAGACAUGGCAAACAUAAAGUGGUGUUUCUCAACACAACUUAGCAGUGGCCUUCAUGCAUUACUGCCACGGCCAUUAAGCGUGAAUGGAAGGCUGCACAUUAUGCAUGAUGUAAAACCCCAAGACUAGGAACAUGAAGGGACAAACACAAACACGUCCCUUUUUGUUCCCUAGUCACGGGGUUUUACAUAUGCAUCAUCUUCACCAGCUCACUUGCUUCCUAGCCAUUUUUUCUGCCACAUUAUGUUCACUCUACUUCUAUCGUGUGCUAUGUAAUCUUGUUCAAGUUCUGUCAAACGACGUGUAAUGCUAUAAAAACAUUCAGUACACUGUUUAUGUGGGUUGAAUGGUAGCGCAUAAAUGCAGAAAGGGAACUGUCAUGUUAUGGAAAGUGUUUACGUAUUGUACAUUUAACUACUAAUUUUAUUGGUUAGCUUUCGCCGGCAUAUGAUGUCAAGCCAUGUUAUAUUAAUUUGGAACAUGUUCUUCUUAGUAGCCAGAGCAGCUGACACACAUUGAGAACAUAGCCCGUGUGUGUUUGUCUUUUCCACCGCAGCCCUUGGGUUUCCUCCCUGAUGGCUACACAUGUCAGGGAUAGGUUUCAGAACCGGUAGUUCCCGCCAAUUGUGAAUUACUUUUCAGGGGAUCAUCACGCUGGCAGAUGAAACAUAUCGUUUAAAUUAUUUGCAGGACAGGAAUUGCGU